UCUCGUGUAGGUAGCGUGCUUUUUUUUCAUUUCCAUACUACGUUUGAAAUUGUUGUUAUCUUUUUUUUAUUCUCUAUGUACCUCUGUAACACUGAGAAUAUUGAAAAACGAUUGGGGUAUUGGAUUGUUAUGGGUGGGGUUUUCUUGUUUGAGCUUCUGAUUGUGUGGUUUGUCUUUCAACCGUUUGUUUGGUGCUUACGAUUGUAUGUUCGUUGUUUCGUCACCAGGUUCGACAUUGUUGAGCUGUAAGCGCUAGCUUAGUUUGUGAACUUAGGGUUCAAAAUGGAAGUUUCUGCUUCUAUUUUCAUUGUGUGUUGUGACCUAGUUUCAUAGCGGUUUGUAUGCGUUUGUUUUGUUUAUAUUGAGUUUGGAUUAGCUGCUAAUCCAUGGUCUUUUUGCGUUUUGUGAAAAAGAAGUAAGAACGACGGGUAGAUAAAAGAAAGAAAUGAAAUGGUGAUAACAUAUUGGAAAAGGGUUUCGAUAGAUAGUUAUUAUUUUGUUUAGCUUGUUUUCUAAGGAGUUAUGUGUUUGUUUGAAAAUAGAUGGAAGUGGCUGAGUGAAUCAAAGA
rnacentral:lncRNA from 1 species